GUUAGUUUAAAAAAAAUAAUAGUUUGUCAAGCUAUUGUUGAUAAUAGUAUCACU
rnacentral:tRNA from 1 species